ensembl:lncRNA
CAAAAUCUCUCCGACAGAAUGAUCUGCUUUUAGACGCUUUUUUUUGUCUGAUUAUAAGAUGUAACAUACACAACAAGCUGUUUACAGACAGAAACACCAUCAUAUAAAGCACAUAAAUUUAGAAUAAAAUAAAAUGCUUUUAAUAUACAAUAUACAAAACAACUUCUAGUUCAGUGAUCAUUGAAAAAUUUUGGAAUAAAUAGUAUCUGGUUUUGUUUUAAUUAUUUGUUUAAUAUCUCUGGUCCAGCAAAUGGUACAAUAACACAUGUGAAAUUAAAUCAAAGCUUAAAGUUGUGUGAAUAAAUAAAUAAAUCCAUUGUCAAAAAAUAGUUUUAAAAGAGGAAAGCACCAAAGUGAAAAAAAAGAAAGAAAAAAAAAGUGGUGUGAUAUUUGUGGGCGUGGGUUGUUCAUCCGUCUUGCCAGCGCUAUGUGAGUUGGGGGAUUCGCGUUGAUGAUAGAUAAGAAGAUCAGAGUUUGUUCGGUUAGGUUUUACAGCAACAUCAAGUUGUUUUACAAUAUGAUGCUCUUCGCUGUAGUAACGUGUUGGAUUGGCAUUACUGCUGGUGCUGCGGUGGAGUCGCUAACGGUGUCUGAGGGGGGAAACCUGACCAUCUCUAUUCACAUUGAGAAGUGGGACAGAGACCCUCAGGUUUUGGUGACCCUUCUCAAAGGCUCCUCGCAGGAACCGAUAGCUCAGGUGAUUUGUCAUAACGGAGCCUGUGAACAAAAGAGCUGGAGAUCUGGAGUUUCUCUCAUAUCUGUUGGACAAAAUAUGACUCUGAUCCUGAUGAACAUCAGCUACAAUCAAACAGGACUUUACAAGAUCUACAAACUGAGCAGCAAACUGCCCGAAAACAAGAUUUACAACGUUGCCGUGUAUCGGGUUUUCAAUCUCUUAGAUGCCAAGGAACCUCAAAUAUAA